CUGUAUAUAACACCCAGUCUGUUCCUUCAGUUCUUACUCGCUCGGUCCCAUUUUAUUUCACUUCUUGUACGCCGUGAACUCCAGAAACACCAUGUCACAAAUCCAACAAGGAAUGGCUAUGCUGAUUGCAGCCUUUCACAAAUACUCAGGAAAGGAGGGAGA